rnacentral:rRNA from 1 species
GAUGAACGCUGGCGGCGUGCCUAAUACAUGCAAGUCGAGCGCUGAAGGUUGGUACUUGUACCAACUGGAUGAGCAGCGAACGGGUGAGUAACGCGUGGGGAAUCUGCCUUUGAGCGGGGGACAACAUCUGGAAACGAAUGCUAAUACCGCAUAAAAACUUUAAACACAAGUUUUAAGUUUGAAAGAUGCAAUUGCAUCACUUAAAGAUGAUCUCGCGUUGUAUUAGCUAGUUGGUGAGGUAAAGGCUCAACCAAGCGAAGGUACAAAGCCGACCUGAGAAGGUUGACGGCCAAAAUGGGACUGGAGAACGGCCCAAGCUCCCUCGGGAGGGCAGCAGAAGGGAACUUCGGGAAUGGGCGGAAGUCCGGCCGGGCAAAGCCGGGUGAGUGGAGGAGGUUUUCGGAUCGUAAAACUCUGUUGAUAGGGGAAGACGAUAGUGGGAGUGAAAAGCGCAUCAAGUGACGGUAACUACCCAGAAAGGGACGGCUAACUACGUG